AUGAAUCACGGGGACCCAGGACACCGCUGUAGGUGUUCCCAUGGACCGCGGUGUGCCGGUGCGCCGCCCCAGGAAGGCCUCGCGGCGGCGGCCCUGGACAGCCGUGUGCGGCCCCUCCCCAUGGGCGCCGAGGCGGAGUCCAUGCUGCGGCAGAUCGGCGCGUACACGCCCAACCUCGACGCGCACACGGUGACCCUCCUCUCAUGCGUCCACUCCGUCCUCCCUCCUCCGCCCGUCGCCUCCAACCACGCCGCCCUCUCCGCCCUCCUCCCCCCGCCCCAGGACGGCGGCGACGACCGCAUCAGCGGCCUCCCCGACAAGCUCCUCCGCGACAUCGUCUCCCGCCUCCCCGUCAAGGACGGCGCGCGCACCGCCGCGCUCUCCUGCCGCUGGCGCGGCGUCUGGCGCUCCGUGCCGCUCGUCCUCGUCGACUCCGACCUCCUCCCCGUCCAAACCGGCUCGGGCCUGCAGGUCGCGCACGCGGACGCGCAGCGCGUCGCCUCCGCCGUCACCCGCAUCCUCGACGCUCACCCGGGCCCCUUCCGCUCCGUCCACCUCAUCUGCAGCUUCCUGGACAAGUGCCCGGACCUGCUCGCCCGCUGGCUCCAGCUCCUCGCCGUCAAGGGUGUCCAGGAACUCGUCCUCGUCAACCGCCCGUGGCCGCUCAACAUGCGCAUCCCUCCCACCUUCUUCGCCAUGGCAACCCUCACCCGCCUGUACCUUGGCGUCUUCGAGUUCCCUGACACGAGGAUCCUCCCGCGCGCCGCGUCAUUCCCACACCUCCGCGAACUCGGCCUCUGCUGCGUCCAGAUCCUGAGGAGGGAGGACAUGGACUUCAUCCUCGCCAGGAGCCCCGUGCUGGAAAUCCUAUGCAUCCAAGUGAACAUGCUGAUGAAACACCUACUCCUCGUCAGCCGCAGCCUCCGUUGCGUGCAGGUCAUCGAAAGCAUUGAUCUGAGCAUCGCAGUGAAAGACGCCCCGCACCUCGAAAGGCUCAUCAUCUGGGCAGCAACGGUCCGCGAUGGCUUGCCCAGGAGGGUCAAUAUUGGCCAUGCCCCUGCACUAAGCUUGGUUGGCUAUCUGGACCCGGAACGGCACAGCCUAGAGAUCGGCAACACCGUCAUCAAGGCUGGGACAACGGCGAGUCCGAGCACAAUGGUCCCAAGCGUCAAGAUCCUCGGCGUAAGAGUGUGCUUUGGAGUCCGCAACGUUGCGAAGAUGCUGCCCAGCUUCCUCAGAUGCUUUCCCAACGUCGAGAGGCUGCAUCUUGAGUCCAACGAAACUUAUGAGCCCACUGGCAAGCUCAACAACCAGUUCUGGCAGGAGGUUGGCGCUAUCGAAUGCGUGCAGUCACACAUGAAGCUGAUGGUCUUCUACGGCUUCCGAGGGGAGCGGGGCGAGCUUUCCUUCCUCAAGUUCGUCCUGGAGAGCGCACUGGUGUUGACAAAGCUGGUGAUCGUGUUCACCAAGGGGAGCUUCACCUCAAUGGCAGAGGCCAGCUCCAAGGUGAAACCUCUGUUUGCUGCAAAAUGGGCCAGCAAAGACUGCUCACUGGUGCUCUUGGAGAGUGUGUUUCAAGCAGGGGAAGACAAGUGGUUGCUCAACUUCAAAGCAGGGUCUGAUUUCUCUACAGGGGACCCAUUCACGCGCACCGCUGCUCUUCGUGGCUGCAACUUUUAA
rnacentral:rRNA from 1 species